UACGUAGGGUGCGAGCGUUGUCCGGAAUUAUUGGGCGUAAAGAGCUCGUAGGCGGUGUGUCACGUCGUUCGUGAAAACCUGCAGCUUAACUGUGGGCGUGCGGUCGAUACGGGCAUCACUGGAGUUCGGCAGGGGAGACUGGAAUUCCUGGUGUAGCGGUGAAAUGCGCAGAUAUCUGGAGGAACACCGGUGGCGAAGGCGGCAUCCUGGACCGACACUGACGCUGAGGAGCGAAAGCCAGGGGAGCAAACGGG
rnacentral:rRNA from 1 species